rnacentral:rRNA from 1 species
CAGCAGCCGCGGGAAUACGGAGGGGGCUAGCGUUGUUCGGAAUUACUGGGCGUAAAGCGCACGUAGGCGGCUUUUUAAGUCAGAGGUGAAAGCCCGGGGCUCAACUCCGGAACUGCCUUUGAGACUGGAAGGCUUGAACGUCGGAGAGGUGAGUGGAAUUCCGAGUGUAGAGGUGAAAUUCGUAGAUAUUCGGAAGAACACCAGUGGCGAAGGCGGCUCACUGGACGACUGUUGACGCUGAGGUGCGAAAGCGUGGGGAGCAAACAGGAUUAGAUACCCGCGUAGUCCCUGUCUCUUAUAC